rnacentral:rRNA from 1 species
AUUGAACGCUGGCGGCAGGCCUAACACAUGCAAGUCGAGCGGAUGAGUGGAGCUUGCUCCAUGAUUCAGCGGCGGACGGGUGAGUAAUGCCUAGGAAUCUGCCUGGUAGUGGGGGACAACGUUUCGAAAGGAACGCUAAUACCGCAUACGUCCUACGGGAGAAAGCAGGGGGACCUUCGGGCCUUGCGCUAUCAGAUGAGCCUAGGUCGGAUUAGCUAGUUGGUAAGGUAACGGCUUACCAAGGCUACGAUGGGUAGGGGUCCUGAGAGGGAGAUCCCCCCACACUGGUACUGAGACACGGACCAGACUCCUACGGGAGGCAGCAGUGAGGAAUAUUGGACAAUGGGCGCAAGCCUGAUCCAGCCAUGCCGCGUGCAGGAUGACGGUCCUAUGGAUUGUAAACUGCUUUGUACGAGAAGAAACAACAUUACGUGUAAUGUCUUGACGGUAUCGUAAGAAUAAGGAUCGGCUAACUCCGUG